CUCUCUUUGCCGGGAUAUCAUCGUUGGAAAUGGUGCACUUGGAUUUGGCUGGCUCUUCAUCGUUGGAGGACUUGGAGGAGGCUGGGCAUAUUGGAUUGGAACAGCAUGCCAACAACGCUGGACUGGAGGUUUUUUUUUUUGUAUUAUUUUGAUGUUAGGUCUCUUUGUUAUUUUAGUUCUUACUUUUUGAUUUCUAUUUUGUUUCCUUUGUUAGUAUUUGUUGUUAUUUGUUCAUUAGGUUUUUAUUAUUGUUAUUUGUUUAUUGAGUUGUUAUUAUAGUUUUUUGUUUAUGAGGGUUGUAAAAGUUGUUAAUUUUCAUGUUUUAUUUGUUAUUUGUUAUAUUAUGUUUUUAAGAUUUUUAUUAGUUGACAUUGUUAUGAGUUUCAGUUAUUUGUUAUUGAGGCAGUCAUGAGUUUUACUUGUUAGGAGCUUAAGUUAUUUGCUUUUGUUGUGAUUUUUAAUUAUUUGUUAUUGUUAUGAGUGUUUGUUAGUUGUUAUUGUUAUGAGUUUUAUUUAGUUGUUAUGAGUUUAGUUAUUUGUUAUAGUUAUGAGUUUUAGUUAUUUGCUUUAGUUGAGAUUUUUAGUUAUUUGUUAUGAUAGUUAUGAAUUUAUGUUAAUUAUUAUUGUUCUGAGCUUUAUUUGGUAUUGCAUUUAUUAUUCCUAAGAAUAUGUCUAAUGUUCAUUGUUGCUUUAUGCAUUAGCAUCAACAUUAGACAUGUUGGAUAAUGAGGAAACAGUGUGUUUCACCCAAAACAUCUGUCUUAUUGAGGGCCUUAUUACAGUAAAACUCGGUUAUAACGAAGUCGCUGGAACCUAUGACAUUACUUCGCUAUAUCCAUAAAUUGUUAUAUCCGUGAAAUGAUUUCAUAAAAUUUUUAUAGCUAGGGAUUCAAGAUAAUUUCACUAUAUCUGUGAAUUCACAAUAUCUGUGUUUGUACCAAACGAGUUUUACUGUAUCUAUUAUUUCAGCUCUAUUUUAAAAUUUUGUUAGUAUUUUAUAGUUGGACAGUGUUCAGUAAAGAUGAAGAGAAAUAAGCCAAAUUCUAAACCAUCAUCGAUAAGCAGAUGCACUCAACAGGACUUGGUGGAAACAGCAGAUGCACCCAACUGGACUUGGUGGAUACAGAAGGUGGACCCAACAGGACAUGGUGGAUACAACUGGAGGAGACUUGCCUGAUGAUGUUGACCUUCCAAACAAGACAUAUCAAAGGAGAUAAUUGACACUGAUCUGCUCUACUGGUCAGAGACGAAAAAGCUCGCGAUUGUAAACAAGGGGAUGACAUGGUGGAAACAGUUGGAGGAAGCAGGGCCAAUGGAUGCUAAUCUUCCAAGAUGUGGAAACAGCAGAUGUCCUCAACAAGACCUGUGUAACAGCAGAUGCACCCAACUGGACACUGAUGGAAACAACUGGAUGAUGCAUAGCCAGUACUUGCUGAUCUUCCAAGAUGUGGAAGCAGCAAAUGCACCCAACAGUACAUGGUGAAAACAGUAGAUGAACCCAAAAGGACCUGAUAGAAACAACUGGAGGAUGAAUAGCCAAAGGAUGCUGAUAUGACAUUUAUCAGCUGCAGCCAACAGAACCUUGUGGAAACUGCUGGAAUAAACAAGCUUGAUGAACCUCUUUUAAGAUGGGAAAACAGCAAAUACUUCGAAAAAGACUUGGUGAAAUAAAUCUUGAGGAGGCAAGGCCAUUAUGAAUCUUGAGGCAAACUUGAUGGACAAUGAUUUUCCAAUAUGUGAAAACACCAGCUACACCCAAAGAAAUUGGUGGAAAGAUGGGAAAACAGCAAAUACUUCUAAAAAGACUUGGUGAAAUAAAUCUUGAGGAGGCAAGGCCAUUAUGAAUCUUGAGGCAAACUUGAUGGACAA